rnacentral:rRNA from 1 species
GACGAACGCUGGCGGCGUGCCUAAUACAUGCAAGUAGAACGCUGAAGAGAGGAGCUUGCUCUUCUUGGAUGAGUUGCGAACGGGUGAGUAACGCGUAGGUAACCUGCCUGGUAGCGGGGGAUAACUAUUGGAAACGAUAGCUAAUACCGCAUAAAAUUGAUUAUUGCAUGAUAAUUAAUUGAAAGAUGCAAUUGCAUCACUACCAGAUGGACCUGCGUUGUAUUAGCUAGUUGGUGAGGUAACGGCUCACCAAGGCGACGAUACAUAGCCGACCUGAGAGGGUGAUCGGCCACACUGGGACUGAGACGCGGCCCAGACUCCUACGGGAGGCAGCAGUAGGGAAUCUUCGGCAAUGGGGGGAACCCUGACCGAGCAACGCCGCGUGAGUGAAGAAGGUUUUCGGAUCGUAAAGCUCUGUUGUAAGAGAAGAACGGGUGUGAGAGUGGAAAGUUCACACUGUGACGGUAUCUUACCAGAAAGGGACGGCUAACUACGUGCCAGCAGCCGCGGUAAUACGUAGGUCCCGAGCGUUGUCCGGAUUUAUUGGGCGUAAAGCGAGCGCAGGCGGUUAGAUAAGUCUGAAGUUAAAGGCUGUGGCUUAACCAUAGUAUGCUUUGGAAACUGUUUAACUUGAGUGCAGAAGGGGAGAGUGGAAUUCCAUGUGUAGCGGUGAAAUGCGUAGAUAUAUGGAGGAACACCGGUGGCGAAAGCGGCUCUCUGGUCUGUAACUGACGCUGAGGCUCGAAAGCGUGGGGAGCAAACAGGAUUAGAUACCCUGGUAGUCCACGCCGUAAACGAUGAGUGCUAGGUGUUAGGCCCUUUCCGGGGCUUAGUGCCGCAGCUAACGCAUUAAGCACUCCGCCUGGGGAGUACGACCGCAAGGUUGAAACUCAAAGGAAUUGACGGGGGCCCGCACAAGCGGUGGAGCAUGUGGUUUAAUUCGAAGCAACGCGAAGAACCUUACCAGGUCUUGACAUCCCUCUGACCGCUCUAGAGAUAGAGUUUUCCUUCGGGACAGAGGUGACAGGUGGUGCAUGGUUGUCGUCAGCUCGUGUCGUGAGAUGUUGGGUUAAGUCCCGCAACGAGCGCAACCCCUAUUGUUAGUUGCCAUCAUUCAGUUGGGCACUCUAGCGAGACUGCCGGUAAUAAACCGGAGGAAGGUGGGGAUGACGUCAAAUCAUCAUGCCCCUUAUGACCUGGGCUACACACGUGCUACAAUGGCUGGUACAACGAGUCGCAAGCCGGUGACGGCAAGCUAAUCUCUGAAAGCCAGUCUCAGUUCGGAUUGUAGGCUGCAACUCGCCUACAUGAAAUCGGAAUCGCUAGUAAUCGCGGAUCAGCACGCCGCGGUGAAUACGUUCCCGGGCCU